rnacentral:rRNA from 1 species
GACGAACGCUGGCGGCGUGCCUAAUACAUGCAAGUAGAACGCUGAAGGAGGAGCUUGCUUCUCUGGAUGAGUUGCGAACGGGUGAGUAACGCGUAGGUAACCUGCCUGGUAGCGGGGGAUAACUAUUGGAAACGAUAGCUAAUACCGCAUAAGAGUAGAUGUUGCAUGACAUUUGCUUAAAAGGUGCAAUUGCAUCACUACCAGAUGGACCUGCGUUGUAUUAGCUAGUUGGUGGGGUAACGGCUCAACAAGGCGACGAUACAUAGCCGACCUGAGAGGGUGAUCGGCCACACUGGGACUGAGACACGGCCCAGACUCCUACGGGAGGCAGCAGUAGGGAAUCUUCGGCAAUGGACGGAAGUCUGACCGAGCAACGCCGCGUGAGUGAAGAAGGUUUUCGGAUCGUAAAGCUCUGUUGUAAGAGAAGAACGAGUGUGAGAGUGGAAAGUUCACACUGUGACGGUAUCUUACCAGAAAGGGACGGCUAACUACGU